rnacentral:tRNA from 1 species
AUUUAGAUAGAUUAAGUAAAUCGUACCGCUGAAGAUGGUAAAAUAAAUAAAUUUUCUAAAUA